AAAUCUAUGCGAAAAAAUGUGUAUAUAAAUAAAAUUUUUAUGAUUUUGAAAAUUUUUUUUUAAAUUUAUUUUACAUAUAAAUUUUAGUAUAUAAUUUUAAUUAUUUUAAUAAUAAUUAAUUUUUUAAGUAGUAAUUAACAUUAAAAAUUUAAGAAAUUAAGAUUUAGUAAUAUAAAAAUUAAUAACAAAUUUUGUGCCAGCAGUUGCGGUUAUACAAAAGUUAAAUUAAAUUUUAUUAGUUAUUAAUUAAUAAUUUAAAAUUAAUUAAAAUAUUAAAUUAUUAGGUGAAAUUUUAAUUUAAUUAAAAAUUUAAAAUUAAAAUAUGAUUUAAUAAAUUUUAUUAUAAACUAGGAUUAGAUACCCUAUUAUUAAAAAUUUAAAUAAAUUACUAAAAUAGUAAAUAAUUAUUUAUUGAAACUUAAAUAAUUUGGCGGUAUUUUAGUUCAUUUAGGGGAAUCUGUUUAUUAAUCGAUAAUCCACGAAUAAUUUUACUUAAUUAAAAAUUUUGUAUAUCGUUGUUAAAAAAAUAUUUUUAAAUAAAUUUAAUAUUUUAAAAUUUUAAAUAAAAAUUAAAUCAGAUCAAGAUGCAGAUUAUAAUUAAGAAUAUAAUGGAUUACAAUAAAUUUAUUUAUAUGGAUGAUUAAUUGAAAAAUUAAUUUAAAAGUGGACUUAAAUGUAAUUUUAUUUAAUUUAAUAAAAUGAUUAAAAAUUAAAAUAUGUACAUAUUGCCCGUCGCUUUCAUUAAUAAAUUGAAAUAAGUCGUAACAAAGUAGGGGUACUGGAAAGUGUUCCUAGAAAGAA
rnacentral:ncRNA from 1 species